rnacentral:rRNA from 1 species
AGAGUUUGAUCCUGGCUCAGAUUGAACGCUGGCGGCAGGCCUAACACAUGCAAGUCGAACGGUAACAUUUCUAGCUUGCUAGAAGAUGACGAGUGGCGGACGGGUGAGUAAUGCUUGGGAACUUGCCUUUGUGAGGGGGAUAACAGUUGGAAACGACUGCUAAUACCGCAUAAUGUCUUCGGACCAAACGGGGCUUCGGCUCCGGCGCAAAGAGAGGCCCAAGUGAGAUUAGCUAGUUGGUAAGGUAACGGCUUACCAAGGCGACGAUCUCUAGCUGUUCUGAGAGGAAGAUCAGCCACACUGGGACUGAGACACGGCCCAGACUCCUACGGGAGGCAGCAGUGGGGAAUAUUGCACAAUGGGGGAAACCCUGAUGCAGCCAUGCCGCGUGUGUGAAGAAGGCCUUCGGGUUGUAAAGCACUUUCAGUUGUGAGGAAAAGUUAGUAGUUAACACCUGCUAACCGUGACGUUAACAACAGAAGAAGCACCGGCUAACUCCGUGCCAGCAGCCGCGGUAAUACGGAGGGUGCGAGCGUUAAUCGGAAUUACUGGGCGUAAAGCGCACGCAGGCGGUUUGUUAAGCUAGAUGUGAAAGCCCCGGGCUCAACCUGGGAUGGUGAUUUAGAACUGGCAGACUAGAGUCUUGGAGAGGGGAGUGGAAUUCCAGGUGUAGCGGUGAAAUGCGUAGAUAUCUGGAGGAACAUCAGUGGCGAAAGCGACUCCCUGGCCAAAGACUGACGCUCAUGUGCGAAAGUGUGGGUAGCGAACAGGAUUAGAUACCCUGGUAGUCCACACCGUAGACGCUGUCUACUAGCUGUGUGUGUCUUUAAGACGUGCGUA